AGGGCGCACGGUGGAUGCCUUGGCACUAGGAGCCGAUGAAGGACGGGACUAACACCGAUAUGCUUUGGGGAGCUGUAAGUAAGCUAUGAUCCAGAGAUUUCCGAAUGGGGGAACCCAAUAUCUUUUAUAGGAUAUUACUUUUCAGUGAAUACAUAGCUGAUUAGAGGUAGACGCAGAGAACUGAAACAUCUUAGUACCUGCAGGAAGAGAAAGAAAAUUCGAUUCCCUGAGUAGCGGCGAGCGAAACGGGAAGAGCCCAAACCAACAAGCUUGCUUGUUGGGGUUGUAGGACUCCGAUAUGGUAGUCUGUUAGUAUAGUUGAAGGAUUUGGAAAAUUCCGCUAAAGAGGGUGAAAGCCCCGUAGACGAAAUGCUGACAACACCUAGGAGGAUCCUGAGUACGGCGGAACACGAGAAAUUCCGUCGGAAUCCGCGGGGACCAUCCCGCAAGGCUAAAUACUCCCUAGUGACCGAUAGUGAACCAGUACCGUGAGGGAAAGGUGAAAAGCACCCCGGAAGGGGAGUGAAAUAGAUCCUGAAACCGUGUGCCUACAACAAGUCAAAGCUCGUUAAUGAGUGAUGGCGUGCCUUUUGUAGAAUGAACCGGCGAGUUACGAUUGCAUGCGAGGUUAAGUCGAAGAGACGGAGCCGCAGCGAAAGCGAGUCUGAAUAGGGCGAAUGAGUAUGUAGUCGUAGACCCGAAACCAUGUGAUCUACCCAUGUCCAGGUUGAAGGUGCGGUAAAACGCACUGGAGGACCGAACCCACGUACGUUGAAAAGUGCGGGGAUGAGGUGUGGGUAGCGGAGAAAUUCCAAACGAACUUGGAGAUAGCUGGUUCUCUCCGAAAUAGCUUUAGGGCUAGCCUCGGAAUUGAGAAUGAUGGAGGUAGAGCACUGUUUGGACUAGGGGCCCAUCUCGGGUUACCGAAUUCAGAUAAACUCCGAAUGCCAUUCAUUUAUAUCCGGGAGUCAGACUGCGAGUGAUAAGAUCCGUAGUCGAAAGGGAAACAGCCCAGACCACCAGCUAAGGUCCCAAAAUAUAUGUUAAGUGGAAAAGGAUGUGGGGUUGCACAGACAACUAGGAUGUUGGCUUAGAAGCAGCCACCAUUUAAAGAGUGCGUAAUAGCUCACUAGUCGAGUGACCCUGCGCCGAAAAUGUACCGGGGCUAAACAUAUUACCGAAGCUGUGGACUACACCAUUAGGUGUAGUGGUAGGAGAGCGUUCUAAGGGCGUUGAAGGUCGAUCGUGAGGACGGCUGGAGCGCUUAGAAGUGAGAAUGCCGGUAUGAGUAGCGAAAGACAGGUGAGAAUCCUGUCCACCGUAUGACUAAGGUUUCCUGGGGAAGGCUCGUCCGCCCAGGGUUAGUCGGGACCUAAGCCGAGGCCGAUAGGCGUAGGCGAUGGACAACAGGUUGAUAUUCCUGUACCAGUUGUUUUUGUUUGAGCAAUGGAGGGACGCAGUAGGCUAAGGAAUGCAUGCGAUUGGAAGUGCAUGUCCAAGCAAUGAGUCUUGAGUAGAGUUAAAUGCUUUACUCUUUAAGGACAAGUUGUGACGGGGAGCGAAAUAAUAGUAGCGAAGUUCCUGAUGUCACACUGCCAAGAAAAGCUUCUAGUGAGAAAACAACUGCCCGUACCGUAAACCGACACAGGUAGUCGAGGAGAGUAUCCUAAGGUGAGCGAGCGAACUCUCGUUAAGGAACUCGGCAAAAUGACCCCGUAACUUCGGGAGAAGGGGUGCUGACUUCGGUCAGCCGCAGUGAAUAGGCCCAAGCGACUGUUUAUCAAAAACACAGGUCUCUGCAAAAUCGUAAGAUGAAGUAUAGGGGCUGACGCCUGCCCGGUGCUGGAAGGUUAAGAGGAUGGGUUAGCUUCGGCGAAGCUCAGAAUUGAAGCCCCAGUAAACGGCGGCCGUAACUAUAACGGUCCUAAGGUAGCGAAAUUCCUUGUCGGGUAAGUUCCGACCCGCACGAAAGGCGUAACGAUUUGGGCACUGUCUCAACGAGAGACUCGGUGAAA
rnacentral:rRNA from 1 species